rnacentral:ncRNA from 18 species
UAAUCUCUAACGCAGUCUGAUGGCAGAUUUUAUCUGUGAAAAUAUUUUUCGGGAAUAUGGUGAAAGUCCAUAACAGCUCACUCUACUGUAAUCAGAUACGAAAUUCCAGAUGGUCACUGUGCUGGACAUGGGAAGACCGGAAGAGUAGGUUUGAAGCUGCAAGUCAGGAUAUCCGUCAGAUUAGUAUACAAAGAA